rnacentral:snRNA from 1 species
AAUUUUGUGCAGUGGCAGUAUUGUAGCCAAUGGGGUUUAUCCAAAUUGUGUUUAUUGCUAAUUGAAAACUUUUCCCAAUACUCUGCCAUGACUACUUGCAAUAUAAUCUGCAUUUGACAGUCUCUACAGAGA